rnacentral:rRNA from 1 species
GUAGAAAUAAAUAAGAAAUGUAAAUGAUAUAAUAGCUUAAAUAUAGUAUAAAAAGAGACUAUUAUGGAAAUAUAAAGCCAUGUGUUAAAGAGAAACUUGUUAUCUUAUGGAAACAUAUAAACUCUAAGAUAAAUUACUUGAUAAACGAAGCGAAUUGAAAUAUCUUAGUAGCUUCAGGAAAAGAAAUCAAAAGAGAUUUUAUGAAUAGUGUGAACGAAAAUAAAAUAGCCUAAAAAAUAAGUAAAAUGGUAGAAAAACUGUUUGAAAAAUAAAUGCCAAUUAGUCUUAUUAUUAAGACUAACUCUGGGGAACCUUCCUCAAAGGCUAAAUAUAACACAUGAGCAUCAGAGAAUUAGUACCGUAAGGGAAUUAUUGAAAUAGUAGUUUUAUAAGCAGCUCGAGUUGUUUUUCUAAAACAAGAGCGUACCUUUUGCAUAAUGGGUCACCAAGUUAACAUUAGAUGCGAGCAUGCAUGGAAGGGAGGUAAGCUAUUUUAUAUUACUAUAUCUUUGUUACGCAGGGGGGGUAUCCCUUGAUAGUAGGUAUGGUAUAUGAAAACAGAAUUAGUAGGAGCUUAACCUAUAAACUAAUCUUAGUUAGUUAGUUAGUUAUUUUUUUUUAUGCGAAACACUGAUUAAUAACUGAUUAAUAGAGAGGUGGCAUUGCGUAGUUAAACCGAUCAUAAUAUAACAGAAAAUGAUAAGUGUCUAAAGUUAGACCCGAAGCCUAGUGAUCUUACUAUAGUCAGGACUAUAAAGGUUCGAACGGGUUAUUGUUGCAAAAAUAUCCGAAGAACUAUGGUAAGCAUAGUGAAAGACAAUUCUGACUAGGAUAGCUGGUAAAGAUAAGUGUAAGCAACUGUUUUAAGCCAGUUUGUGUAAGUGAACCUUAUGCUAUUUCUGCGAAACCUAUAAUAGUAGGCAAUUUGAGUAACAUCUUAGCAGGUACAGAACUUAAUCUCAGACCAGAUGUAAAUUUUCAGUAAGAGUAGACAAUCUAUUCUUUGAAAAUACAUUAUUCAAUGGUACAUAUCGGGGGAUCGUGAAGAUUUUAUCGGUGAGUAUGUAGACUCGGAAUGGCAAAGAUGGAUCUUGAAUGAUCAGACAUAGAAUGAUAAGGUUGUAAUACAGCCUUUUUGUAGAAGUGAACCUUCUGCUAUAAAAUAAAAAUAAAAUUACUUAGUUUCAUCAUGAAACCUGGAUAAUUAAUCGUAGAUUAAUUAUCCAACUGUCUAAAUGAAUAGUUUAUAAUAUUUUGAAUAUUGUAGCUAUUUAGGGAGAAGGACCUUAGCCUUACUUAAUUUAAGUAUAAGUCUAAGGUAGAUCUGUGUAUGUCAAAAGGGAAACAGCCCAGAACAAAAGUUAAGGUUCCAAAAUUAUUGUUAAGUGAAAUUAAGAAGGUUUUAAUUUAAGUCGACAAGGAGAUGGGCUUAGAAGCAGCCAUAAUUUGAAGAUCUCGUAAUAGAGCGCUUGUUAAAUCUUUAAAAGCAUCGAAAAUUUAACGGAUCUAAACAAUAUACCGAAACUUUGUCCUCAUUUAAACAUAAUUUUUAUUUUUGUUAUUUGCAGGGGUAGCAGAACGUUGGGUUAUAUUAGAUUUGGAAUUUUUUAAAUUCAAAAAAAAAAACUCAAGUGAUAAUGGUGACAUGAGUAACGAAAAGAAACUAUUGUGAUCUAGUAGUUAAUUUUCUGUCCGAAAAUUAACUUACUAUCUUAAGUGAUAGGUUGGACAUGAUGGUACUCGCCUAAAGCUUAAGGUUAAGGGUAAAGCGGCCUCUAAGUUUAUAACCUGAAGGUUAAAACGAUGAGUAAUUCUUAUUACUAAAAAACAACAUUUCCGGAUUUAAAUUUAAGUGGGAAAUGUGCAGGAAAAAUUAGUAAUCUAUUCUUUAGUUGUACCUCAAAAUUUAUUUUUUUUUUUUAGGGAAGCUAUGUUUGUUAUAGCAGGUGAGCGGUGGCAUGCUCACUAGCUGAUCAAUUUCCUUUUUUUUUUGUUAAUGUUAUCAACAAAGAUUUUCCCUUACCGAAUAGACUCAUUUUAUUAUCGCAACAAACUAAAAAGAUGAGUAAUAAUAAAGUGACAGACCGUACCUAGAGACUGCCACACAAGUAAGCUAGUAGAGAAUACGAAGGCGUAAGAGAUAACAAUCAUAAAGGAACUCGGCAAAUUGAUACCGUAACUUCGGGAUGUUUGUCCUCCUGUUUAGAAGAUAAAAGAAUUUUAAUGUAGGUAAAUUAGAAGCUACGCUACGUUUUUAGGUAGGCUAAUUAUAAGCAUUUGAAGGUAGGCUCAUUAGUCUUGAUUAAUACAAGUAAAAAGGAAGAAGCAUAAAAGGAUGUUGUACGACUGUUUAAUUAAAACACAGCACUUUGCAAAAAGAUGAUAAAUCUAAGUAUUGAGUGUGAUACCUGCCCGGUGCCGGCUGGUUAACGGAAAUAACUAAAUUGUCGUAGGUUUGGUGUAGAAGGAAACCCCGGUUAAUGGCGGCCUUAUAAGUGAGGGUCCUAAGGUAGCGGAAUACCUUGGCCGUUAAAUGCGGUCUUUGCAUGACUACUAAUUCACCAAUAUCUAUUUUCAAUUGAAUGGUGUAACGAUACAACAGCUGUCUCUAUGAUUGACUCUGUGAAAUUGGAAUAACUGUGCAGAUACAGUUUACCUCUAGUUGGACGAGACAACAGACCCUAUGCAGCUUUACUGUUACUAAUUAUUGAGUAUAAUAAUAGCAAAUUUUAGUAGAUAAGGUAAUCGACUGUAUAAAAGUGAAAUACCUUUAUUUGCUUAUUAUAUUAUUAUGGAAUAAUAUUAUAUAUUGUCUAACAAGAUAAGUGUAAUACUUAUUUUGUCGUCAACUAUACAUAAGAAUAGAUUAGUUCCUAUCCUGUGUACGCAUAGGUAGGGAGGCGUCGAUAUCAAAAAUUGUGUUCGAUAAUAUAUAUGUUAUAAGCAUCAUACUCUAUGAAAAGGGAGAACAUUUGCUAGGAGACAGUUUAUGCGGGGCACAGACCCCAUAAAGAGUAGAUGGGAGUGUCUAAGGAUUGUGAUGUUUGUUGCAAUGUGUGCGGAGCUAAAAUUUUUCUGCGAAGCAUCACUUGCUGCAAUUAAUUUUUUGUAUAUCUCGGCCUCCGGCCGGUCUCAGCCGCUUUGCGGCGCCCGGGACUAAAUAAGAAGAUAAUUUUUGUUUGUAGUUAAAUAUAACUUCGUUGUAUUUAAUCCUUUGCUAGUACGAGACGUAUAAGGGCGUACAUAUUAUUAAAAGGGUAAGAUUUUAGCUAUAGUGAAAUUAGCUUUAGUUAAAAAAAGUGUUUGAAAGUGCAAGCGCUGCAAGCGUAUCACUCCUGAUGGUUUCGCAGAAGCCAUAUUCCCCCCCCCCAACCCUCUGCAAAAUUCGCAGAGGGUUGGGGAUUAGGUAAUAAUACUUUUUCUAGUUAUUAGUUUCUACUUAACAGUGUUAAUAAUAAUAAUGUAAACUAAUUAUCAAGUUUAACGGCUUAAUCUUGCUUUACUGUUUGAUUCACAACAAAUCUUACAGUCGCGUAAGCGGGGCAUAGGAUCACAAGACACAUUAAGGAAAGGUCUUGGAUUAUUGGAAAAGCUACGCUAGGGAUGUUUGUCAUUUGUAGGGUUAACUUUAUUUAACUAAGACGGAUAAAUAAGUUCAUAAUGAAUUAAGGUAGAAAUUUUUAGUUUAGAUCCUUUUUAUUUAAGAGCCCUUCGGCCUAGGCCCGAGGACUUGGUCCUGGUCCGAAAGGUAGGGAAAUAAUUUUGCUUUAUUAAGUUAGCACAUUUCCCUUUUUUUUGCGGUCCGGAGUAGGUAGUAUAGAGUAGGUUGGUAGGUAGUUUAAAAUGUAGGCGUAAUAUAUAUAAUAAAAAAGUGAAUACAUAGUCUGAACCAUUUUGUAAAAAAUGGAAAUUUUUUUUUGUCCUGCAUCGCCUUUGGCUAAUCCCCCACCCAGGUUGCUGAGAAGUGCGGGUUUAGCCGUCCUGGGUCGAAAGGCAGAAAAAUAUCAAACUAACGAAGUAGUGAGGGGAUAUGGACAAAAUCAAAUUUUAUGAUAACAAUUUGAACAGGCUAAUUUGCGCAAGAGUGUACAAAAUGAGUGCGCGGUUUGGCACCUCGAUGUCGGCUUAACUUAUCCUCAUGGAUGCAGGAACUAUGUAGGGUACGACUGUUCGUCGAUUAAAAAGUUACAUGAGCUGGGUUAAAUACGUCGUGAGACAGUAUGGUUUCUAUCUUCUAGAGGGAAUUAGAAUAAAAUAAGGAAUAACCUAGUACGAAAGGAACGUGGGGAAUUAAGUUAUUCUGGGUAAUACCAGGGUACACUUUAUUAACCUCUGGUUUACCUGUUGUUUAUAUGCCCAAUAUUAAUUUAUGUUUAAACGGAUAGUACGUUUAAUACAGGGAUGUUACUCUCACUUAGGUAGGUACAUAGUAUAGGCACGGCAGGAAAGCUAAGUUAGUCCAAGAUAAACACUGAAAGCAUCUAGGUGUGAAGCUUACCUUAAGAUAUUUCUUGAAUAUGCGUAGUAUACUACUACGAAACAGUAGAAUUCAUUUUACUUUAUAGGCUUUGUCUGUAAGAAUCAGGAGAUUUUGAGGAAUGAAGUACUAAUUUU